GACGAACGCUGGCGGCAUGCCUAACACACGCAAGUCGAGCGAGUAGAUCCCUUCGGGGUGAAGCUAGCGGCGGACGGGUGAGUAACACGUGGGCAACCUGCCUCAUAGAGGGGAAUAGCCUUCCGAAAGGAAGAUUAAUACCGCAUCAGAUUGUAGUACCGCAUGGUAUAGCAAUUAUAGGAGCAAUCCGCUAUGAGAUGGGCCCGCGGCGCAUUAGCUAGUUGGUGAGGUAACGGCUCACCAAGGCGACGAUGCGUAGCCGACCUGAGAGGGUGAUCGGCCACAUUGGGACUGAGACACGGCCCAGACUCCUACGGGAGGCAGCAGUGGGGAAUAUUGCACAAUGGGGGAAACCCUGAUGCAGCAAUGCCGCGUGAGUGAUGACGGCCUUCGGGUUGUAAAGCUCUGUCUUCGGGGACGAUAAUGACGGUACCCGAGGAGGAAGCCACGGCUAACUACGUGCCAGCCGCCGCAGUAA
rnacentral:rRNA from 1 species